rnacentral:rRNA from 1 species
UUUCUCCUACGGGGGGCAGCAGUGGGGAAUAUUGCACAAUGGGGGGAACCCUGAUGCAGCGACGCCGCGUGGGCGAUGGAGUAUUUCGGUAUGUAAAGCCCUAUCGGCAGGGAAGAAGCUGACAGUACCUGACUAAGAAGCCCCGGCUAACUACGUGCCAGCAGCCGCGGUAAUACGUAGGGGGCAAGCGUUAUCCGGAUUUACUGGGUGUAAAGGGAGCGUAGACGGCAGCGCAAGUCUGGAGUGAAAUGCCGGGGCUCAACCCCGGAACUGCUUUGGAAACUGUGCAGCUAGAGUGCGGGAGG